UGCAGGGUAGCCUAGUGGACAUGGCAUCUGCCCGGUAAGCGGAACACUGUGGGUUCGAUUCCCAUCCCUGGAC